rnacentral:tRNA from 1 species
UGGGGCGUCGUCUAGCGGUAGGACACGUGGCUCUGGACCACGCAGCCCUGGUUCGAAUCCAGGCGCCCCAG